AGAAAUUAUCGUACAAAUCGACGACGACGAAUUUAAAGAAACAUCUCCAGAAAUCACAUUUAAUUGUGGAUUUCUCUUCACAAAGACCUUCGGAGCUAGAUUUGGGUGAAUCCCUUCCUGUAGAGGUGAUCCUUGGCACCAGUAGUGUGGAAGAGGAGCGAGCUGCUCCAGCCCCCUCAAUGCAGCAAGGUGUUCAAAGUUCUAUGACAUCGUACCUCUCCAAAAGGAUCGGAGUGAAUCA